CAGAAGGGCUAGAUAGCAUGCAGCAGGCAAAAAGCAUGUCUGUGAAUGCUUACUGUGCAUCGAGUGCUCCUAGUGGCUUUCUCAAGAACUUCAUUCUUACCUAAAGAACUGAAUUUAAUCUUUUUCUCCAAUGAAAUUCACUUAACUGCACUGGUUCUUGAGUAUCCACAGAUUCUUUUUAGCUAAGAUGUUAAAAAUAUAAAAUGUGAGGAUAAGUUCUAAUUUUCCUGACUUACUGCAACACCUGUAAUUUUAUUCUACUCCUUUAUUAAGGAAAGGUACCUUUAAAUACCUUGCUAGCUACCAGCAGUUUUAUUUUGAAGGACUUCCAAUAUGCGAAGUUCAAACGUGUGAGUGAAACUUCUUGUGGAGCAGUGCUACAUAUAAAAUGCUGUACUGUUUAGACAGGCAAUAUCGCAAGUAGGAAGUGGAGUGACUUACAUGGCUGAUCUAGAGCAAAAUUGGAAGUAUCAACUCUUGAAUUCCAAUAAAUGUGGAUUAUUUUAAAAGCUUUAUAUGGGAGUAAAAAGUUCUUCUGUUGUUUGCAGGAGUUGUAUGUAGAAGAAUGUUGCCUGGAUGCAGGGGUUUUCAUUUAAUGCUUGCUUGUUGGUUGGUUUUGACUUCUGGAAUUUUUAAUGCUUUGAUAGGUGUUAAGAACUCAGUAUUAACUAAUUUUCAGAAAUGAACUUUGUGAUUCUUAUAGGAAAGGGGAAUUAUCCUUGAUUGCUUAGUUGGCUAUCUUAGUUCAUAGCAAAGUUGAUCAAUAGCUGGCCAAGAGAGGCAAAAUACUGUGGCAUGACUACACUUCCAAGUUUCACCAAAGUUGCUGAAUACUAUACUAGUCCAGCACAUGUUCAUUAAUGCAGUAUGACGUGUAUGAGAGAUUAAAUAGAUGGCAAGUUGUAUUCUGAGAGAUGGAAGGAAAUUUUUCUGAACUAAUAAAUGUCCUUUUUUUUUUCUUUUUAGAGGAAAAUUAUAAAAAAUGUAGGAACAAAUGCCUUUAGCUUAUUAAGUGAUGAGUUGGAACACUUUGCCAGUGCUGCCUGACAAAUGUGGAUGAUCUGUAACUGGAAGGAAGAGUAACACCGGAAGAGUUUUUUUGGCUUGGAGUGGGAUGCUGUGCUUUUAAAAGCCUGCUGAAACAACUGCUGCAGUUUUGUUUAGUGGAUACUGUUCUCAGAAGCUGCAUGUUAACCAACAUCACACACUGCGUAUUUAAAACAGUGCUUUUUCCCAAAACAUUGAGCUGCCCUCUGUAGGGAGGAUAGCAGCAAUAUUAGGGAAAUGAGUGGUGAGCUUCAAUAGACAGAAAAAACCCUCAGGGUAUUUAGCCCUUUUAAAAUAUCAUAAGGGUCUGCAGAGUUGCUGAUACUGAAGAUCUGUAAUAAAAUAGUGAAACAGGUAGGCCCUGUAAAGACAAGGAGAAAGCAAAAUGGGUACUCAAAUUCAAACCA